UCAAAUAAAUCAUUACCAUCCAUACUUGGCUUGCGUUUGAGCUUUGGUAAGAAAACCUUUGGCACGCCGCUCUGACAAUUCCAUCUCUUUCUGCUUCAUAUCAAAGUACAGUGAACCUAUCUGAUGCUUCCGCUUUUGAAGUUUCGAAGGCUUUCCCUUUGUAGAAGCAGGCUGAUAGGAUGGCCCAAAAGCAAUUCCAGUUAACUUGACCUGGUCCUCCCUAGGCCGAUUCUUAGUCAGCUCAUCCUGCUUCACCUCAAUAAUUUCAGUUGGAAUAUCAUUCCUUCCUCUUUUCCCAGGCACACUCAAAGCGCUCUCACUUGGCCCUGUUCUCUCAGGCACUGCUGCUGCUGCUGUCCCAUCACCCCAAUUAUUGCCAUAUUGUUCAUAAUCAUCAUAAUUACCAUAGCUUCCAUAACUCUCGUAAGUCCCAUGCACUGAGCCAUCAUGUCCAGUGACAAUAUUUUGACUGCUGUCUUGACUUAUUCCUGAUUCAUAACUGGCAAAACCCCCAUAAUUUGCAUAAUUCCCUCCAUUUUGAUCAGAACCCAAUUCAUGGCUCCCAGAAACACCACCAUAACUCUCAUAAUUUUCAGCAAUUUGAUCAUUCUCUGUCCCAAAGCUGGCUGAACUUGAGGUGGGUACUUUAUUUUCAAUGAUGGAUCUCCUUCCAGACCCUGCUGCAGAUGGAAGAACACCUAAUGUAGAGGAAUUCUUGGGGGCAGGGAUGCUGGACAAGAAUGACUUCACAGACAAAGAUUGUGACAAAGUUUCAGAUUCCUU
rnacentral:misc_RNA from 1 species